AGACUAUGAUGAUUUAUGCAUUCACCAUCUUUCAACUGAUUUGUGAUGCAUUGAAUUUUUUUACUGAAGUCUUUA